UGCGCAGGCGGUUAUAUAAGACAGAUGUGAAAUCCCCGGGCUCAACCUGGGAACUGCAUUUGUGACUGUAUAGCUAGAGUACGGCAGAGGGGGGAGUGGAAUUCCGCGUGUAGCAGUGAAAUGCGUAGAUAUGCGGAGGAACACCGAUGGCGAAGGCAAUCCCCUGGGCCUGUACUGACGCUCAUGCACGAAAGCGUGGGGAGCAAACA
rnacentral:rRNA from 1 species